AGGGUGAAAUAAUAUGAGAGGAAAAUGAGGGUGGAAUAAUCUGAGGGAAAAUGAGAGUGAAAUAAUCUGAGGGAAAAUGGGGAUUAACCAAUUUUGGGAGGGAAAAAUCUGAGAGGAAAAUGAGGGUGAAAUAAUCUGAGGGAAAAUGAGGAUUAAAUAAUCUGAGGGUGAAAUAAUCUGAGGGAAAAUGAGGAUUAAAUGAUCUGAGAGGGAAAAAUCGGAGAGGAAAAUGAGGGUGAAAUUAUCUGACAGGAAAUUGAGGGUGAAAUAAUCUAAAAGUGAAAUAAUCUGAGGGAAUAAUUACAAUUAAAUGAUCUGAGGGGGAAAUAAUCUUAAGGAAAAUGAGAUUGGAAUGAUCUGAGGGGAAAACGAGGAUGAAAUAACACGUGGAGGAAAAUGAGGGUAAAAUAAUCUGAAUUUCUUUCCUUUUUACCUCCAAUCUUCCAACAUUCCCAGCUGUAAAUAAACCUCAUUUUUCCUGAGGGUCUGGAGAUCAAAUCCAUAAUGAAAAUAAAAUAUUGCAGCUCUAUCAGGAGCUUUUAAUAACUGUAAUAAAAUGCAGUUAAAGUGCUGAUCUGCAUUGAUUUUUGCUCCUCUGGGAAAACAGUUCCCCGUGUUUUUAAAUAUAUCUCCAAAGUGAUAUAUUUAAAAUUAUUUUCCUUUCAGCUUCUAAAUAUAUCACUUAAAAGCUGCGAUUUGCAGGUGGUUUUAUGUCUGAAAAUGUGGUUUUUUUCCCUUUUUUUUUUAAUUUUUUAAAAUAUUUUUUAUUUUUUAAAAUAUAUUUUAUUUUUAAAUUUUUUUUUAAUAUUUUUUAUUUUUAUCCACCAGAAGCUGUUUAAUGAAUGCUCAAUCCUGCAGCUCCUCAGGUUUCUCCUGGAAUUUCAGAAAAAUAAAAAAUCUGCCCUGGAUUCAGGGGAAAUUACCCCAAAGCUGGGGUAAUUUUUAUUUUAAUGAGGAUGGUGGUAAUUAGGAACUUUUCACAUUUAAUUGCGUUCGUAUUUCUGUGGGUAAAUCAUUCCUGCAGAAUUGUGGGCUCAGAAAUUUUUAGGGUCGGGUUUAAAUCGGGUUUAAAUUGGGGUUAGAAUUGGAUCAUCUUUAAUUAUAUUAUUAUCAUUAUUAUUGGAUUAUUCUCUAUUAUAUUAAUAUCCUUAAAAUAAUGAUGGUGAAACGAUCUGAGGGUGAAAAUGAGGA